ensembl:lncRNA
GAGGCUAACCACGCAGGGCCCUCCUCCCCGGAGCUCUGGUUUUCUCCUCCUUGGGCUUCUGUUCUCUCAUCACCCCAGUGGGCCAGGUGACGACCAGAACCAAGAGAGGAGGUGGGGGCACACAGCACCCCCAGGGCUGGGCUGCGAGCCGCUGCUCUCCAGCCUCUUGAACAAAGCGAGUCAUGAAUCUGAAUCUAGAAUCAAGGCUCGGGGACAGGCUACCUUGGCUGGGGGGCGCUGCAAAGUCACCGUGUGAGAGGAGGGGUCAAGAGUCAAGGGCAUUAACAGAGAACAAUCAUGGGUUGUACUUUUUCUUGUUCAACUGCCUUAUCGUGCAGAUGGGAAAACUGAGGUCCAGAGACAGGAAGGGACUAGCGGGGGGGCCCCCCUGGUUAGUACACCAGGCCCUUCUCCUGACGGUCAAGGUUGCUCCUCCUCCACCCGGAGUAGCCACCCAGGACACAAGGACUCAUUGGUGGAUGGCGGGGGCCUUUCCCCCACGACUAACCCUCAAGGAGCCCGUCUGGAGCCCAAAUUUUAAUGUCACAUGAGGAACCACAGAAACGCCAUUCGCCCCCCUGUGGGGGAGGAGAACAGGAGCUCAUGGUCUAAAUCAAAGGAAAAUGAUCAAGGCGCCCAAGUUGGAGGCAGACUCCUGUCGGCUGUCAAGCUGGGCAGGUCAACGUCUGCCAUACAGGUCCCGCAGACAGUGGACCAAAGGCGUGUGGAGGAGCAGGCCCACGUCCUGAUAUUCAGUUCUGUGCACGCAGGCGCCAGGAGCCUGGCACUGGGGGUGAGAAACUCGGGGAAGGGCUUCAGUUCCGUGGCAGUUGUGCACAGGUGCUCUGAGUCACUACAAGGAGCAAUGUUGCAGGACCAACUCCAGACCAGCCACCUGCUCCUGCAAGGUGAGAUGACCGAGGAAUGAGGAUCCUUCCUGAUUUGCAGAAACAAGGUGAUUGAUACGGUGACUUUAAUCACCAAGCAGCUUUAUCUAGAAGAACCACAAAUUGCUCCUCAGCUACUCAGAAAGAGAGGGGCUUGAUGGCCAUCUCUGAGGAUUAGCAACGUGGAGCAUCAGGACAGGUGAGGUGGUGGGGAGGUGGUCAGCAGAGACUCCAGUCCCCAGGGGGCUCCUGAGACACCUUAACUCUCGUAAACUUGUGCUCCUGGAUCUCCUGGGAGUCCUGUUUGAGUCUCUGCCCUUUUUAGUAUUUUUUGGCCACACCAUACAUCGUGUAGGACCUUAUUUCCUGGACCAGGGAUCAAACCCACGCCCCCUGCAGUGGAAGCUUGGAGUCUUACCCACUGAACCACCAGGUAAGCACCCUCCCGCCUGAGUCUCUGCCUUUUGAUAGGAGAGUGGAAGACAUUAACCUUUAUUGUACUGUUUGUUUAGACUUACUUGGCCAUCUUAUUUUAAUUCAUCAUGAUUUCAUUGUGUUACAUUUUUAAAUUGAUCAAAGUAUCUAUUUCAUUUCCCCCCCUCAACUGCUUUGAAAAUUAUGCCUUCUGUCUCUGUUUGCCUAAUGAAUAACUGUAUAUUUUCAACACACAUACUUAGUUUUCUAAUAAUGUUUAUUGUUUAACAGCAUCUCUGUUCCAGCCUGGUCUUUGCGAAAGCUGAUAAAUCCCCGAGGCAGGGAUUAGGGAGUGGGGGAGGGGCCCCAGCACUGUCUCUGUUUCUGCAUAUGACCUUUAUUUAUCCUUAGAGCUGCCUGGAAAG